CCGAUUAAAGUGGUACGUGAGCUGGGUUUAGAACGUCGUGAGACAGUUCGGUCCCUAUCUGCCGUGGGUGUUCGAGACUUGAGAGGAGCUGCCCCUAGUACGAGAGGACCGGGGUGGACGUUCCACUGGUGGACCAGUUAUCCUGCCAAGGGUAGUGCUGGGUAGCUAUGAACGGACAGGAUAACCGCUGAAAGCAUCUAAGCGGGAAGCCCCCCUCAAAACCAGGUCUCGCCUGAGAGCCGUGGAAGACCACCACGUCGAUAGGCCAGGGAUGAAAGCGCAGCGAUGCGUGCAGUCGACUGGUACUAAUUGCUCGAUAGGCUUGACCCGUCCCG
rnacentral:rRNA from 1 species